rnacentral:misc_RNA from 1 species
UCCGGUUCUUCACCAGCAGUCUCCUUAGAGUCCCCACCUUAACGUGCUGGUAACUAAGGACAAGGGUUGCGCUCGUUACGGGACUUAACCCAACAUCUCACAACACGAGCUGACGACAGCCAUGCAGCACCUGUCUCCUGGUUCCUUGCGGCACUCUAGCCUCUCGGCCAAAUUCCAGGGAUGUCAAAAGUAGGUAAGGUUCUUCGCGUUGCAUCGAAUUAAACCACAUGCUCCACCGCUUGUGCGGGCCCCCGUCAAUUCCUUUGAGUUUCAACCUUGCGGCCGUACUUCCCAGGCGGAAGACUUAUCGCGUUAGCUUCGGUACAGAUGAGUUCCCCCACCUACAUCUAGUCUUCAUCGUUUACAGCGUGGACUAC